UCGUUAAUUCCUUUUUCCUCCCCUAUUUCUUUCUCUCCUCUCCUUCAUUGCGCCGAACUCUUUUCCCCGAGAUCUCACCUCGCGAUCCGCCGUACCACCGCCGGUCGCGAUGAACCGCACAGCCGGCGACUUCUUCUCCCUCGAGCUAUAGCCGCUGGCUCUUCUCCUCGCAAGGGCACCACACAGCUAGCCUUUCCGCCCUCACGCGAGCACCGGAGGCAUGCCACGGUACCUGAUCGCACGGCGUUGCUCAGGCCGCCGCUCGCCAGAUCUUUCUAUUCCUCAGCCUCUCAUCUACAGCUCUGCUAGGUACACACCUUCUCAGACCUUUGCUCCGCACAGGCCGAUCUUCAGCAAAAGGGUGGGAAAUCCGAGCCCUAGUUUUUUCCCUCGUCGCUGCACUCGUGCGCUACAUCUUCGACCACCACUGUCUGCAUUGCUGUCCGACCGUCGGCCGAGACCUUCUUCCGAUCCAGCGAGACGCUGCCCCGAUUUGGUCGAUCCUCUCUGUAUCAUGACCAUAGACUCUGUUGUAGCUUCGACAGGGAAGAAUGCUAGCUCUCACCUAAUCCAGAGUCGUGCCCUAGCUUCCAUCGCAGCUGAUCUUCACUGAUUGCCACGCUCCUCUGCUUUGGGACGACACCGUAAUAGUAUUCGGAUUUCUUCAUAGAGGAGGUUACAGGUCUGGUUUAAGGGGUAAGUUUCAGCUAGCGCUAUUUGCCGACAAUUCACAGUUCAGUCCAUCAUUUCUGGAAGCCACUUUCCUCAGUUGUGAGUCCACAAAGGAGGCUUCCUAUUAGGGAUACUAGUCGGAGACACAUCUCGACGUGGCAAUAUUUAUCACUAUCAGCAGAUAAAGGCGGGU